CGAGAUAUGUUGAAUUACAAUAAAAAAAAUAGUGAAUGCAAUGAAAUACAUAAAAAUACAGCGAGAUAAGUUGAAAUGCUCUUAAAAAAAGGUAACAAAAUCUUCAAAUUGCUCAACCUCAAACUUCAGACGACCUAUUUUUUGACAAUUUUUUGACGACCCAUCAGAUUCCGAUCAUGAUUCCAUAAGCAACGAUGAGUAAAAAUUUCAAAUUAAUAAGGCGUACAGUCCACACGAACUCGGCAGAGUCGAAUAGAGUUGCCUUUGUCUCCGCCGCUUGAGAAUUGUUUGCGCAGCCUUGCAAAGUUGCAAAAAAUAGUUUUAGGGCCUUUUUGGCGAUGCCUAAGAACUAAAGCUGAAGGCAAAUAAAAAAGUAAAUUACCGUCUCCAACUGCAAUAAAUAGCUAAUCGUAAGCAUAAAUUAAGUCCCCUAACCUCAACUGCCCAAAAAUCAGCCAUAGGAAAGCGGAAAAUAAAGAAUGAGAAAAACAAAGAAACUCAAUGACAUUACCUAGCUCUAGCUUGGCGGCUUCUUCCAGGUCCGAGGGUGACGAUGAGGAACAAGGACAUAAGGG
rnacentral:lncRNA from 1 species